AGAGUUUGAUCAUGGCUCAGAAUCAACGCUGGCGGCGCGCUUAACACAUGCAAGUCGAACGAGAAAGGGGAGCAAUCCCUGAGUACAGUGGCGCACGGGUGAGUAACACGUGGAUGAUCUAUCUCUUAGUGGGGAAUAACCCUGGGAAACCGGGGAUAAUACCGCAUAAGCUCGAGAGAGGAAAGCAGCAAUGCGCUGAGAGAGGAGUCCGCGGCCGAUUAGCUAGUUGGCAGGGUAAGAGCCUACCAAGGCAGAGAUCGGUAGCCGGCCUGAGAGGGCACACGGCCACACUGGCACUGAAACACGGGCCAGACUCCUACGGGAGGCAGCAGUGGGGAAUCUUGCACAAUGGGGGAAACCCUGAUGCAGCGACGCCGCGUGAGCGAUGAAGCCCUUCGGGGUGUAAAGCUCUUUCGGCAGGGAAAAUGAUGACGGUACCUGCAGAAGCAGCUGCGGCUAACUACGUGCCAGCAGCCGCGGUAAUACGUAGGCAGCGAGCGUUGUUCGGAGUUACUGGGCGUAAAGGGUGUGUAGGCGGUUGUUUAAGUUUGGUGUGAAAUCUCCCGGCUCAACUGGGAGGGUGCGCCGAAUACUGAAUGACUUGGAGUGCGGGAGAGGAGAGUGGAAUUCCUGGUGUAGCGGUGAAAUGCGUAGAUAUCAGGAGGAACACCGGUGGUGUAGACGGCUCUCUGGACCGUAACUGACGCUGAGACACGAAAGCGUGGGUAGCAAACAGGAUUAGAUACCCUAGUAGUCC
rnacentral:rRNA from 1 species